rnacentral:rRNA from 1 species
CAACCUGGCGGCGAGUGGCGAACGGGUGAGUAAUAUAUCGGAACGUACCCAAGAGUGGGGGAUAACGUAGCGAAAGUUACGCUAAUACCGCAUACGAUCUAUGGAUGAAAGUGGGGGAUCGCAAGACCUCAUGCUCCUGGAGCGGCCGAUAUCUGAUUAGCUAGUUGGUGAGGUAAAGGCUCACCAAGGCGACGAUCAGUAGCUGGUCUGAGAGGACGACCAGCCACACUGGAACUGAGACACGGUCCAGACUCCUACGGGAGGCAGCAGUGGGGAAUUUUGGACAAUGGGCGCAAGCCUGAUCCAGCAAUGCCGCGUGAGUGAAGAAGGCCUUCGGGUUGUAAAGCUCUUUUGUCAGGGAAGAAACGGUGGGAGCUAAUAUCUCCUACUAAUGACGGUACCUGAAGAAUAAGCACCGGCUAACUACGUGCCAGCAGCCGCGGUAAUACGGAGGGUG